UGUUCCUACGGGACGCAGCAGUGGGGGAUAUUGCACAAUGGGGGAAACCCUGAUGCAGCGACGCCGCGUGAGUGAAGAAGUAUUUCGGUAUGUAAAGCUCUAUCGGCAGGGAAGAAAAAAAUGACAGUAACUGACUAAGAAGCCCCGGCUAACUACGUGCCAGCAGCCGCGGGAAUAAGUAGGGGGCAAGCGGUAUCCGGAUUUACUGGGGGUAAAGGGAGCGGAGGCGGCCACGGAAGUCAGAAGUGAAAACCCGGGGCUCAACCCUGGGGGGGCUUU
rnacentral:rRNA from 1 species